GUCCUAUUGUGCGCAACAAAAGCUAUGUACACAGACACAUACACGUGCACACGUUCGGUACCUAGUGUUGAUUUACAAAAUCAGGAUGUCCGCUAUGUAAAUAAUAACAAUAAUUUGUGAAUGACUGCAAUUCAUCUAUAUCGCGUAAUUAUUUAGUCACUGAAUAGUAUAUCGAAUCUUUUUUUUAAUCAGCCAAUUAAUUCAACUCCUGUGAACUGGAAUUUUGUUUGCUCCCCUAUUAAAUGCGGGUAAAUUAAUAGUUAAUCAAAUUUAACUGGUUUUAGUAAGAGAGUAGUUG